AAUGGGCAGAGCACUCUGAGGGCAGCGCAGCACGAGGAAAAAGGAAUGCACGGUGGUGCAGAACGAGCGCAGAAGGAUGGGGAGCAGCAGCGGUGGGAUCCCCCUUUGGCACGGCUACCCACCGCUACGGGACUGCAACAAGGAGCUGCACCCUGCCGUGGUCAGCAUGGCUCUGUGUGCCAGCUGUGUGCUGCUGGAAAGCACCCGAGCAGUUACGGGUGGGAGAGUGGCAGAGGAAAUCAUCCAACAUCUGCAGGGAUAGCACAAGGCAGGCUCAGUGUGACAGCUGUGUCAUUGUGCAGCAGACAGAUGCUGAGCAGAGCACAGCAGGGCCAGGACGUUCUGACCGGGGGAGGUGGAGAGUGCACACGAGAUAAGGCACAGCUGCAGGAUGGAGCAUGAGACCCAGCACGUGCAACAGCUGCAAGAAAUCCUGCCUGCCUGUCUGCAUAGAAAAGCACACAAUCAGCCGGAAAGGAACACGUUGGCCAUAGACCUCCUCUGGAAAUACUGCACAGCGGAUGCGUGGUGGAGAUUGUGAGCCUGCAGUGCCCAGCCAAGGGGGAACAGGAGAGCAGUGGGUGCCAUGGGAGGAGAGCUACAGGAGCAGAAGGAGCUCACAGAGGAGAGUGCAGUAAUGCCACAGCAAUCAGGAAUGAGCUUUGCUGCUGCACUGAGAGCUGUGCCUGGUGGAACAUGAGACAAGAGAGAGUUUCUCGCACACCCCACAGGCACCUGGGUGGAUGUGCUGGGAUGUGGGGAAGCCUCAUGGGGUUGUGGGGCAGCUAAAGGACGCCUAUGGGAGGGCUUCAGGAGCACUUUGGGGCAGCUUUGGA
ensembl:lncRNA